CCUUACGUCGCGGGAACAGACUCUCGCGCACACGCCCACCAUCACUAACUCAGUUCCGUGCGCCGACGCCGCCGCCGCCGCCGCCGCCGACGACGACGACUCUCUCUUUCUUUCUUGAUAGCUCUGUCUCUUUUCGUUCUCUCUUUCACCUUUACGUGCGUCGCAGCUGCCCUCAUCCGCGUCGGCAGCUGCGACUCUUCAUACUGCAGAUAUCUAUCUAUAGAUAGAUAUCUUGCCUUUGAGCCCUGGCCUCAUUGCUUCGCUCCUGCAUCCUGCAGGCGCGCGUGUGUGUACUUGACUCCGUAUGCUGGCGUGCAGGCUGCAUCGACAGAAACACAAGCGAAAGAGGAAGACGAGAAGCACGAGAAGGGGGCCUUUGCUGGUGCUUCGAGGGACAUCCACCAGCGCCAACCCCCUCCCCCGAAACCCCCGCUCCUCCCUUCUCUUUUUCCGUCAAUUCAGCCUUGGCACUCACUCAAAGUCAAACCCGCCUUCACGUUAGCAGAAGGUUUGACGGGAGUGGAGGGCUGCGUCAGCACCAGAGACCUAUUACAAGUGACAUCAAGCAACAGCGGAAGAAGAAGAAAACGAAAGCCAGACCACCUCAUUUUUGUACGCACAGCCCCACGUGGCGUGCGUUUCAUCCAUCCUUUCCACAGGAUACACUCGCUCCCCCCAUACAACCACACAGAAAAAGAGACAGACGUGCAAAUAUACAAAGAACAUCAUCCCCCGUCCCCUCCCCCCCCCCCCCCCCCCCCCCCCCCCCCCCCCCAAAAAAAAAAAAAGAAAGGCGUGACUUCGCUCGCAUCUCUGAUUUCGUACGCCACUCCCUACUUUGCUCUCAUCUUCUUGAAUCCCCACCUCGGCGGUCCACUUGGAGAGUUGCUCGCCCUUAUCUCCCCUCUCCCAGCGUGGGUGGUGCGUUUCUGUGCCUGUCUGCGCCGCUGUCUCUCGGCCCCUUCGCAUUUCGAUCUGAGCGCUCUCUUGCCUGGCUCUCUCUCUUUUUUCUUGUUUCGUGGUUGGCUUGCCUCCCCCCUCUUCCUGCUCUUCCCUCCCUCGCUCACUACACUUUCCCUUCCCUCAAG
rnacentral:misc_RNA from 1 species